GACAGAGGCCCCAAGCGUUAGGCGGAAUCACUGGGCUUAAAGCGUGUGUAGGCGGAUCGUUAAGUGUCUUGUGAAAUCCCACGGCUCACCCGUGGAACUGCUGGGCAUACUGGCGAUCUUGGGCCAACUAGGGGCAGCCGGAACAAGCGGUGGAGCGGUGAAAUGCGUAGAUAUCGCUUGGAACGCCGAAGGUGAAAGCAGGCUGCUGGGGUUGUGCAGACGCUGAGACACGAAAGCGUGGGGAGCAAAAGGG
rnacentral:rRNA from 1 species